rnacentral:rRNA from 1 species
GAUGAACGCUGGCGGCGUGCCUAAUACAUGCAAGUCGAACGCUGAAGGAGGAGCUUGCUCUUCUGGAUGAGUUGCGAACGGGUGAGUAACGCGUAGGUAACCUGCCUGGUAGCGGGGGAUAACUAUUGGAAACGAUAGCUAAUACCGCAUGACAACAGUUAUUGCAUGAUAACUGUUUAAAAGGGGCAACUGCUCCACUACCAGAUGGACCUGCGUUGUAUUAGCUAGUUGGUGGGGUAACGGCUCACCAAGGCGACGAUACAUAGCCGACCUGAGAGGGUGAUCGGCCACACUGGGACUGAGACACGGCCCAGACGCCUACGGGAGGCAGCAGUAGGGAAUCUUCGGCAAUGGACGGAAGUCUGACCGAGCAACGCCGCGUGAGUGAAGAAGGGUUUCGGAUCGUAAAGCUCUGUUGUAAGAGAAGAACGAGUGUGAGAGUGGAAAGUUCACACUGUGACGGUAUCUUACCAGAAAGGGACGGCUAACUACGUG